rnacentral:misc_RNA from 1 species
GAAAUGCGAUAAGUAGUGUGAAUUGCAGAAUUCAGUGAAUCAUCGAAUCUUUGAACGCACAUUGCGCCCCUUAGUAUUCCAUGGGGCAUGCCUGUUCGAGCGUCAUUUGUACCCUCAAGCUCUGCUUGGUGUUGGGUGUUUGUCCCCGUCUCCGCGCGUGGACUCGCCCCAAAGUGAUUGGCAGCCGGCGUACUGGUCCCGGAGCGCAGCACAUGUCGCGCAAACGAGUGCCUUGGUACGGCGGCGUCCAUAAGCCCCUCUCUCACGCUCUUGACCUCGGAUCAGGUAGGGAUACCCGCUGAACUUAAGC